UACGGGGGGGGUAAGCGUUGUUCGGAAUUACUGGGCGUAAAGGGCUCGUAGGCGGCCAACUAAGUCAGACGUGAAAUCCCUCAGCUUAACUGGGGAACUGCGUCUGAUACUGGAUGGCUUGGAUUUGGGAGAGGAAUGCGGAAUUCCAGGUGUAGCGGUGAAAUGCGUAGAUAUCUGGAGGAACACCGGUGGCGAAGGCGGCAUCCUGGACCGAGAUUGACGCUGAUGAGCGAAAGCUAGGGGAGCAAACGGG
rnacentral:rRNA from 1 species